AAGAAAAUGAAAAAAAAAAUAUAAGAAUCAGCUUCUACUGCAAAAGAGAAAAAGUGUGUUCAUUGAACUUUCAAUUCUAUCCAUCUUAAUCAAAGCGCAUCCACUUCACAUAUAUUGCCUCACAAUAAUAUAGUUUUUAUUGUGUAGAGCGUAGCUUACAUUGGGAAUAGAUUAGGUUUAUAUAUAUAGAUUUCUUAUUACGAAUGAUCUAAAUUCUAUUAUCAUUAGUUGGAAAUCGUUUUCUUGCAUUCUUAAUUUUGUUUUUUCAUAUAUCUCUUGUUUCCAUUACAUUAAAAGUAGCUUAUUGCAUUCUAGUUACAUUAAUUAAUUUAAAGAAACGCACCCACCUUAAUCCAUGUGUUUAGAUCUUGUUCUUGUUUAUGUAAUUUGCAUUUAGUGUUAAUUGUUUACCUUUUUCAUUCAUUAGGAUUCAUUGAAGUGUCACAUAAACAACUAUUUGUUUAUCUUGAUUGAGUUACUUUCAAUUCUGAAGUACAACUUAAAGAAAAGAAUAGAGUGGUAAAAGAUUUGAGGGUGUAAGCGUAGAAGAGGAUAAAAACAAAAAUUCUAAGUAAAAACACGAGAGAAGUGAGAAAUCUGUUCAAGAAUGAAACAUGUAAGGGAGUGUUGUGAGGAAUUUUCUUUACUAACAUUUUUUUUGCAGGUUUUACAUCAUGUCAAAUUCUAAAAGUGAGAAACGUGAAUUAAUCAUGAAUGACAUAGCUUUUAUGUUAGAAACAAGGUAAAGACAGUUUGAGAAGCACAAUAGGGAUAUAGACAACAUGAAAGGUGAUAUAGAUAGCCUUUGGGGCCGACAUGGUGGUGUUAAUCAAAGAAGACAAAGUAGGGGAAGAGGAAAUAUGCUAAAUGAUGACGAGAUAGAAAGGGAAGUAGAUGAAGAUAGUGAAGAGUCAAUGGUACAAAGAAUACUCGAAAGGAGGGACAAUAACAUUAAUUUUAUCAAGAUGAAGAUUCUUUCUUUUUAAGGUAGAAAUGAUGCUAAAACUUAUUUAAAAUGGGGGCGAAAUUGAGUUGAUAUUUGAAUAUCAUAACUACUCCGAGAAGAAGGAGGUAAAGUUGGCAGCCGUUGAAUUUACUAAUUAUACUUUGGUUUGGUGGAAUCAAUUACUCAUCUCUAGGAGACAUAAUGGAGAGGCACCCAUCACCACCUGAACUCAAAUGAAAGUUAUCAUGAGAAAAAGGUUUGUUCUAUCAUUUUACUAUAAAGAGCUCCAUCAGAAAUUGCAAAGCCUCGCUCAAGGGUCUAAAUCAGUUGAAGAUUAUCACAAAGAAAUUGAGAUAGCUAUGAUUCGAGUAAAUAUUGAGAAGGAUAGAGAAGCUACCAUAGCACGAUUUCUAAGUAGUUUGAAUAGAGAAAUAGCCGAUAUAGUUGAAUUACAUCACUAUAUUGAGUUGGAGGAGAUGAUUAAUAUGGACAUUAAAGUAGAAAGACAAUUGAAAAGUAAGGGAACAACAAUGUCAUAUUUUGGUUAUAACAGCAAUUGGAAUUCAAAGUGGCCUAAGAAGGAGGAGAAGACCAAGGAAAAGAGUUUUAGUUUCAAGGAGAAGGGUACAAAUUUCAACAAAGGCAAAGAUAAAGGUACCUCACCAUCUAUUAAAGGUACUUCUGAUCCCAUGUUUACUAAUAAACAUCGAAAUAUUAAAUGUUUCAGAUGUUUAGAAGUGGGACAUAUUGCUUCACAAUGUCCAAAUAAGAAUGUCAUGUUUAUUAGGGAUAAUGGGGAUGUUGAGUCUAAAUUUGAUUCUGAUUAUGAUAAUAUGCCACCUAUAGAAGAUUGUGAUGAUGAUGUUGAGUAUACUGCUUGUAGAAAAUCAUUAGUUAUUAGACGAGCUCUUAAUAUGCAAGUUAAGGAAGAAAGUUUAGAACAAAGGAAAAAUUUGUUCCAUACAAGAUGCUUUGUAAGUGGAAAAGUUUGUGUUGUGAUCACUGAUGGAGGGAGUUGUACAAAUGUGACUAGUACUACUUUGGUGGAGAAAUUAAGUUUAAAAUGUGAAAAGCACUCAAGACCCUACAAGCUGUAAUGGUUGAAUGAUUGUGGAGAAGUGAAGAUGAUUAACAGGUUAUAAUUCCAUUCUCCAUUGGAAGAUGUUGAUGAAGUAUUAUGCGAUGUUGUACCCAUGCAAGCUGAUCAUUUGUUGUGAGGGCGACCUUGACAGUUUGAUAGAAGAGCCAUGCAUGAUGGGUACACAGAUAGGAGCUUGAAGAUAUGUUUUCUGAUGAUAUGCCAAAUAGUUUACCACCUCUAAGAGGAUAAACGUCCAAUUGUAUACUUCAGAGAAAAGUUAAAUGAGGCACCAUUGAAUUAUUCUACCUAUGAUAAAAAGUUAUAUGAUUUAGUUCGUGCACUGCAAGUGUGUAGCAUUACCUACUUUCAAAGGAAUUUGUGAUUCAUAUUGAUCAUGAGUCCCUCAAGCAUUUAAAGAGACAAGGAAAGCUGAAUAAAAUGAAUGCAAAGUGGAUAGAAUUUAUUGAGACUUUCCCUAUGUGAUUCGUUGCAAGUAAGGUAAAGAUAAUGUGGUGGCAGAUGCAUUAUAUAGAGGUACGCUUUAAUUUCUACACUUAAUUCUAAGUUGUUAGGAUUUGAGUAAUUCAAAGAUAUGUAUUCUAUUGAUUUUGAUUUUUGUAAUGUUUAUGCUACUUGUGAACAUGUUGUAUUUGAUAAGUUUUAUAAGCAUGAGAGAUUUUUAUUUCAUGGAAGACAAUUGUGUGUGCCUACAUAUUCAUUGCGUAAAUUGCUUGUUCAUGAGUCUUAUAGUAGGGGAUUAAUUGGUCAUUUUGGUGUGCAUAAAACUUUAGACAUUCUGACUUAGCAUUUUUAUUGGCCAAACAUGUGUAAGAAUGUUGAGAAACUUUGUUCAUCUUGUGUUGCAUGUAGACAGACUAAAUCUAAGUCCAAACCGCAUGGUUUAUACACUCCAUUACUAGUUCCUACUCAAUCUUGGACUGAUAUUUAUAUGAAUUUUGUGUUAGGUUUGCCGAAAACUAGAAGAGGUAAAGAUAACAUAUUUGUUGUAAUUGAUAGAUUUAGUAAAAUAGCACAUUUCAUUGCAUGUCACAAUACCGAUGACGCAACAAAUAUUGCUGAUAUGUUCUUUAAAGUAGUAAGGAUACAUGGUAUACCUAAAACUAUUGUUUCUGAUCGUGAUGUUAAAUUUUUGAGUCAUUUUUGGAAAAUUUUAUGGAGUAAGUUAGGAACUAAACUUUUAUAUUCUACUACUUGUCAUCCACAAAUUGAUGGUCAAACUGAAGUUGUUAAUAGAACUUUGGAAACUUUUUUGCGUGCUGUUAUUGGUAACAGUUUGAAAACUUAGAAAAAUUAUUUAUCAUUUAUUGAGUUUGCAUAUAAUUGUACUAUUCAUUCUUCUACAGGUUUUUCAUAUUUUGAAAUUAUUUAUGAUUUUAAUCCAUUAACUGUUUUGGAUUUAAUGCCAUUACUUUUAAGUGAAAUUUCUAGUUUAAAUAGUAAGAAGAAGAUUAAAAUGGUUAAAGUUAUCCAUGAGAAAGCAUGUGGGCAGAUUAAAAAGAAGAGCCAAGUUUAUGUUCAAAGGGUUAAGAAGGGGCGAAAACAAGUUGUAACGAUUGAGUUUGGGUACAUAUGCACAAGGAAAGGUUUCCAAAACAAAGGAAGUCAAAGUUAGAUACGAGAGGCGAUGGACCAUUUCAAGUGUUAGAGAAAAUCAAUGAUAAUGCUUAUCGGAUUCUUCUCCUCAAUAAGGUUCAAGUCUUUCCAUCUGACCAUCUAGCAAGGGCAGCAAAUCCAAUCUUUCAGUGUGUGACAAACUGCAGUUCUCAGGGAGCAUUCACAGUUGACAACAUUGAAGCACAAGGUGUUUCAAGGUCGGCAGUGCUUCCUCGUCAAGAUCUGACCAUUCCUUCAGAACAGCAGAAGAUAUGCUGAGAACUUCUAGCUUGAGAAACCCAACAGCUGGCCAAAGUGCUUUCACCAAAUGUUUGGCAUCAUAAGCAUCCCACAGGUAUAAAGCUUUUCUAAAUUAGUAGGAGCCAAAGUACCAACAUUGGUUCUCAAAAAAGCAAGAAGAACCUAGGCUGAUGUUGGGAAGUUUGUUCAUCCUAACAACUCAACUUGGUAGUGUUCUUAACUUCCUUCGAAGGUAAAAUUUUUUAAAAAGUGGUGGAGGCGAGACUGUAGAAGGAUAAGCAUUUCCUGUUCAAAACCGUGCUUUGCUUCUAGAGACAAAGAUAGAAGAUCCUGCAUCCUUGCGAUAGAAGCAAAUAACUUGGUAACAGUCUUGUCACUCACGUUCAUCACACCCAGUCUUUUAAGCUGAAUCCAAUCACCCAACUUUCUUGCUAUGCCUGCACCAGGGCGUAUGCCAGGAAGGGUGGAAAUUCCCUAGCUCUUGGAAACUUUAUUUGGCAGACAUCAAUGUUCUUGAGCAUUUUGAGAUGCUUUAAUGUUACAAAAUUUAGGACCCCAAUUGGUAUUUCUUUUAAAUACCCACAUCAUCUGAUAUCCGAAGUCUGUAGCAGCCUUAAAUUACCAAGUCUUGCUGGAAGCUCGUUUCUAUCAGUCUGUUUCAAGCCAAGAUAUGUUAAAUGUAUCAGGUCUCCUUCAUAGAUCUGGUAAGUUGUUGAUCUUGGUUCCUUCUAAAUCUAACACCCUUAAAAAUUUUUGCCCCAUGCAAAUUUAGCCAAUUCUCAUUGGCUUCAGCGAGAUCUUAAUUUCUGAAGAAAAAGCAAAGAGCGGGUUCGGAGAUUGUUUAAUUGGGUGGCAAUUAUUUCAAGUUUGAAGUAAAAGUAGCACGGGGGAUACCAUAACAUGAAUUGAUAAGUGGUGGCGGAGCUGGAGGGAUGAAAAUUUCAUUCUUCAUCUUGCAAAGAGAGACAUCCUUAUAAAGGGGAGCAACAAUUAAUAUAGUUCCAUUUCCAGGUUCUUUGCACUAGAAGCAUUCCCUUGCUGAUCAGUUUCUUCUACUAUAUCCUCUGUUAUUUUCCCUCAUUUUUCUUGUACCCAUCCUUUAACCACUAAUAACCAAAUUAAUUUCCCUUUCUGUAUCCAGCAAUCCUCAGGGAAGAUACAGCAGUACAGGAAAGAGAAUUGAAGGAAAU